GAUGAACGCUGGCGGCGUGCCUAAUACAUGCAAGUCGAGCGGAAAGGCCUCUUCGGAGGUACUCGAGCGGCGGACGGCUGAGUAACGCGUAGGAACGUACCCCAAACUGAGGGAUAACUGCUCGAAAGAGUAGCUAAUACCGCAUGUGCUCUACGGAGUAAAGCUUCGGCGGUUUGGGAACGGCCUGCGUAAGAUUAGCUUGUUGGUAAGGUAAUGGCUUACCAAGGCGACGAUCUUUAGCUGGUCUGAGAGGAUGAUCAGCCAGACUGGGACUGAGACACGGCCCAGACUACUACGGGAGGCAGCAGUAGGGAAUUUUCCACAAUGGGCGAAAGCCUGAUGGAGCAACGCCGCGUGCAGGAUGAAUGCCUUCGGGUUGUAAACUGCUUUUAUAAGUGAAGAAUAUGACGGUAACUUAUGAAUAAGGAUCGGCUAACUCCGUGCCAGCAGCCGCAGUAA
rnacentral:rRNA from 1 species